GUGUUUGCUUCGGCAACACAUGUGCUAAAAUUGGAACGAUAGAGAUUAGCAUGGCCCGUUCGCAAGGAUGACACGCAAAUUCGUGAAGCGUUCCAUUAUUUA
rnacentral:snRNA from 1 species